rnacentral:rRNA from 1 species
GGCUUAACACAUGCAAGUCGAGCGGGCCCUUCGGGGUCAGCGGCGGACGGGUGAGUAACGCGUGGGAACGUGCUUUCUGAUCUGGAAUAACCCUGGGAAACUAGGGCUAAUACCGGAUACGCCCUUUUGGGGAAAGGUUUACUGCCGGAAGAUCGGCCCGCGUCUGAUUAGCUAGUUGGUGGGGUAACGGCCUACCAAGGCGACGAUCAGUAGCUGGUCUGAGAGGAUGAUCAGCCACACUGGGACUGAGACACGGCCCAGACUCCUACGGGAGGCAGCAGUGGGGAAUAUUGGACAAUGGGCGCAAGCCUGAUCCAGCCAUGCCGCGUGAGUGAUGAAGGCCUUAGGGUUGUAAAGCUCUUUUAUCCGGGACGAUAAUGACGGUACCGGAGGAAUAAGCCCCGGCUAACUUCGUGCCAGCAGCCGCGGUAAUACGAAGGGGGCUAGCGUUGCUCGGAAUCACUGGGCGUAAAGGGCGCGUAGGCGGCGUUUUAAGUCGGGGGUGAAAGCCUGUGGCUCAACCACAGAAUGGCCUUCGAUACUGGGACGCUUGAGUAUGGUAGAGGUUGGUGGAACUGCGAGUGUAGAGGUGAAAUUCGUAGAUAUUCGCAAGAACACCGGUGGCGAAGGCGGCCAACUGGACCAUUACUGACGCUGAGGCGCGA